rnacentral:rRNA from 1 species
UACGGUAGGGGGCAAGCGUUGUCCGGAUUUAUUGGGCGUAAAGAGCUUGUAGGCGGUUUGUCGCGUCUGCUGUGAAAUUUCGGGGCUCAACCCCGAACUUGCAGUGGGUACGGGCAGACUAGAGUGUGGUAGGGGAGACUGGAAUUCCUGGUGUAGCGGUGAAAUGCGCAGAUAUCAGGAGGAACACCGAUGGCGAAGGCAGGUCUCUGGGCCACUACUGACGCUGAGAAGCGAAAGCAUGGGGAGCGAACAGG